rnacentral:rRNA from 1 species
UUAGCCUACGGGGCGCAGCAGUGGGGAAUAUUGCACAAUGGGGGAAACCCUGAUGCAGCGACGCCGCGUGAGUGAAGAAGUAUUUCGGUAUGUAAAGCUCUAUCAGCAGGGAAGAAAUAGCGACCUUUGGGUCGCCAGACGGUACCUGACUAAGAAGCCCCGGCUAACAACGUGCCAGCAGCCGCGGUAAUACGUAGGGGGCAAGAGUUAUCCGGAUGUACUGGGUGUAAAGGGAGCGUAGACGGCAGCACAAGUCUGAAGUGAAAUGACGGGGCUUAAAACCGGAACUG